rnacentral:rRNA from 1 species
UACGAAGGGGGCUAGCGUUGCUCGGAAUUACUGGGCGUAAAGGGCGCGUAGGCGGCACUGUUAGUCAGGCGUGAAAGUCCUGGGCUCAACCUGGGAACUGCGCUUGAUACGGCAGAGCUAGAGGAUGGAAGAGGGUCGCGGAAUUCCCAGUGUAGAGGUGAAAUUCGUAGAUAUCGUCAAGAACACCGAUAGCGAAGGCAGCUUACUGGGCUGUAACUGACGCUGAUGCACGAAAGUGUGGGGAUCAAACAGG